GUGCUGGCUCAUCACCAUUUGCAUGUAACAGAAUGUUAAGUAAGAAGCUGAGACCAAGGCACCAUGACGUAAUAACUGCUACAUUCCAACGGGUGUUUUCACACCUGCUAUACCAGGUGUGAAAUUUCAGAACAGCACAACGAAGAACCAGUAUAAUGACUUUUUAAUUAUCUCAUUCAUGUGGAGGACAAAAAGGGUCCAAGGAGGGGGACUGAGAGUGGAUUUUUGAGCAGAGCCAUUAGCAUGCUGUGUGUCUUAUCCCCAAAGGACGGAAGGAUGAAAGGGAUGUCUGCCCUCACCUCAAGCUGGAGCCAGAGAAAUGACAGUGUCUUGAGCAGAUUAAAGGGACAAUGGAAGACAAAAAGUAAGACUGCUUUGCAGAAAAUCCACCAGGAGUGCUGGAGUUCCAGACUUCCACUGACACACAGAGUGAGCCUUCCAUUGCUGGCCUCUAUGUCCACUUCUAGCUUUGUCUGAUCCUUUUCCUCACCCUCAUGCAACACUAUUAAAGGAAUUUUCCAUGCUCCCUG